UACAGAGGUCUCAAGCGUUGUUCGGAUUCAUUGGGCGUAAAGGGUGCGUAGGUGGCGCUGUAAGUCGGGUGUGAAAUUUCGGAGCUUAACUCCGAAACUGCAUUCGAUACUGCGGUGCUUGAGGACUGGAGAGGAGACUGGAAUUCAUGGUGUAGCAGUGAAAUGCGUAGAGAUCAUGAGGAAGACCAGUGGCGAAGGCGAGUUUCUGGACAGUUACUGACGCUGAGGCACGAAGGCCAGGGGAGCAAACGGG
rnacentral:rRNA from 1 species